GCCUUCGUAGCUCAGUGGAGCAGAGCACCAGGUUCCGAUCCUGAAGGUCGCUGGUUCGAGUCCAGCCGGGGGCA
rnacentral:tRNA from 1 species